GGGUGGUAAUGCCGGAUGCUCCGGUUGGAUGCAUGUCCUUCCGGGAAAGAUUCCAUCGGUAUGGGAUGGGGUCGCGUCCUAUCAGCUUGAUGGCGGGGUAACGGCCCACCAUGGCUCCGACGGGUAGCCGGCCUGAGAGGGCGACCGGCCACAUUGGGACUGAGAUACGGCCCAGACUCCUACGGGAGGCAGCAGUGGGGAAUAUUGCACAAUGGGCGCAAGCCUGAUGCAGCGACGCCGCGUGCGGGAUGGAGGCCUUCGGGUUGUAAACCGCUUUUGAUCGGGAGCAAGCCCUUCGGGGUGAGUGUACCUUUCGAAUAAGCACCGGCUAACUACGUGCCAGCAGCCGCGGUAAUACGUAGGGUGCAAGCGUUAUCCGGAAUUAUUGGGCGUAAAGGGCUCGUAGGCGGUU
rnacentral:rRNA from 1 species